UUAUAGCAAUGUGAGAACAGACUAACAUAUACAUAUUUUGGUACAAGGAGUGGGAGGCCACUCAAAUAAAUGUCUAAAAAUAUAAGGCUUUGUUUUAGAACUGAGCAGUGAGCUGAGUGAUUGCAUCACAAUUUUGUAACUUUCAUUUUUCUUACAGAAUUUGUCUUUUGUUUUUUUUUUUCUUCCCUUGUAAGCUUUGAUGAACUAAGCCAUCAUAUGCAGAGUUCCACAGUGCAAACAAUUAAGGGUGGCAUCUUGCUGAAAGAUAGCAAGGAGCUAAGGCCCUCAGUCUGACAGCCCACCAGUAACUGAAUCACACCAAUACCCAUGUGAAUAGGAAGCAGAUUCUUCCUCAGUUGAACCUGAAAUCAAAUCUGAGUCCUGGACUGCAUAACAAUUGAAGUAUUGUAAGAGACCCUAAAGGUUCAAGGGAUACAUGUACAGGUUUGUUACAUGUGUAAAUUACAUACCACUGUGGGAGUUUGGUGUACAGAUAAUUUUGUCACUCCAGCAAUCAGCAUCAUAUCUGAUAUACAUAAAGGCCUGAUGUUCAACCCACAGAAACUGCGUCUACUUGCAUAAGGACAUUCUUUGAUUUCCAGAGACCUCUUCCCCAUUUCUAAAUCAGCUCUAUCUGAUAAACAUCUUUUUGACAGCUGGAAAAGUGUCAGACUUUGUCCAGACAGAGUGUUCAAAGGAUCACUGAAGAAGGAAGGAGCCUCUCUCUUCUAUGUGAAGCACUUACAUAUAUACACUCUUGCUCAUAGGAUAUGGCUACUAGGAGAAAGUUCGCUUGUUGGUGGGAAGAUUCCUUGUCAGUUGUCUGAAAGAGACCCAGUAAUGAAUGCCCUUUGGAGCAUGGAGAUAUUCCCUUGUUUACAUCUGUGGUUAAUGUCAUGUUGCAGUGGCAGAGAUGAGAGUCCUUACACUGGGUUUGUUUCUUGAGAUGGCUGUCUACUGCAGCUGCAGACCUCAACCUAUGGUAUGUAUCAAGUAAUUUAACUUUUUCUUGCAAUGCAAUGACUUUUCUCAGCUUAUUGGGAAAACCUCCAGCAUCACUAGUGACAUUUUAUGUGGGUCCCAUGAUGUUAUUUAAGAUUUAAGGUAUUUCACUAAAUGUGAUUUAUAUGGUGAGAACUCUGUGAGAUCACUUUUUACCAUGAUACACAAAUUCACUGGAGAAACAAGAGAGAGCAUCACACAGCACUUUAAGUGUCUAUUUGCAACUUUUGAGCUUAUUGCAAUAGCAACAGGAGGUGUCUACAUAAUUAUUAUAGUAUUACAGUCUGUACUACAGUGAAUUUUAAGUAGUAGUGACUAACUACUUGUGUUUGUUUACGUUUCUAUUAUGAGCAGCCUACAUACAGUAUGUGUUUGUGUUUUGAUAAAUAUUAACUUUUUAUUACA